rnacentral:rRNA from 1 species
CCUACGGGGGGCUGCAGUGGGGAAUAUUGCGCAAUGGGCGAAAGCCUGACGCAGCGACGCCGCGUGAGGGAUGAAGGUCUUCGGAUCGGAAACCUCUGUCAGUAGGGAAGAACGGUCACUGUGCUAAUCAGCAGUGAAUUGACGGUACCUGCAAAGGAAGCAUCGUCUAACUCCGUGCCAGCAGCCGCGGUAAUACGGAGGGUGCGAGCGUUAAUCGGAUUUACUGGGCGUAAAGCGCUCGUAGGCGGUAUGUCAAGUCAAGGGUGAAAUCCCCGCGCUCAACGUGGGAACUGCCGUUGAAACUGGCAAACUGGAGUGUGUGGGAGGAUAGUGGAAUUCCAGGUGUAGGAGUGAAAUCCGUAGAUAUCUGGAGGAACAUCAGUGGCGAAGGCGACUAUCUGGCACAUAACUGACGCUGAGGAGCGAAAGCGUGGGUAGCAAACAGGAUUAGAUACCCCUGUAGUC